GAUUUUCUCACAAUUUCUUUGCUUUUGAUUUUUAUUUUUCGGUAGAGUAGAGACUAUAAAUAAGUGAUAGAGCAGCGAAGUGUGAGCAUACAAAAUUACUGGAGUGCAUUGUGCCCUCUCUUUCACUCUCUACACUCUCACAAUGAAGAAGGCUAUUCUCAUUGCUUUUAUUAUUCUGGUUUCCGUAUUUCUCUGCCUUCCCUCUUCCACUCAUGCUCGAGCAUUAUCAGAAAGGGUAGAGUCAGUUACUGGGGGAGCACCAAUAAGAAAUAAGCCAGCAGUUCCAUGUUCUCCUAGUAGAAGAUAUACUUCUUGCAUGCCAAAGACGAAGCCUCCGAGCCCUCCAUGCUCAAUCUAUGUCCGAGGCUGUCGACCACCUGGGAAUUAGAUAUAAUAACAAUAAAUAAUUAGAUACUCCUCCGGUCCUUAUUAUAAGACCCAAUUUGACUUUUUAUUUGGUCCUAAUUAUAAGACCCAAUCCAUUUUCUCUCUUAUAUUUAUGCAUUUUUUUCCAAGAUAAUCCUUCUAAUAAUGAUAGUUUUAGCCAAUAUACUUAAUUAGCAAGGAUAUUUUAGGAAUAACAAUACUUAUUUAUUAUAAAUAACCAACUUAACUUACUUCCUUAAUCUCCUCAAAUAAGUCAAUUGGGUCUUAUAAUUAGGACCGGAGGAGUAUGAUGAUAAUUAUGUUUCUUAUAUUUUCUAGCUAGCAGGGAACGUAUGUAAUAAUUGUAUUUAAAACUUUUAGGUACUGUUUAAUUUCUGGGUUGUGUGUAUAUGUUUGUUGCAGCUUUUGAUUUCACUUGUCUCUUUUGAAGAAUAACAUCUCUAUUCCCGACUUGGCUUUCUCUGCAGGAA